GACGAACCGUGCAAACGUUGUUCGGAAUUACUGGGCGGAAAGCGUGCGCAGGCGGUUUUGUAAGCCAGAUGUGAAAUCCCCGGGCUUAACCUGGGAAUGGCAUUUGGGACUGCAAGGCUUGAGUGCGGCAGAGGAGACUGGAAUUCCUGGUGUAGCAGUGAAAUGCGUAGAUAUCAGGAGGAACACCGAUGGCGAAGGCAGGUCUCUGGGCUGACACUGACGCUCAUGCACGAAAGCGUGGGGAGCAAACAGG
rnacentral:rRNA from 1 species